AAGCAUCUGAAACGUGGUGAAACCGGUUUAGGGUGGGAUCCUAGUACAAAUAAGAUUAGUGGCUCCGAUGAGUGGUGGGAGAAAAAAAUCAAGGAGAACUCAGACUAUAAAAAAUUUCGUAAUAAAUCCAUUGAUACUGCAAUGGAAGAUUUGUGGUCUAAGUUAUUUGAAGAUAGCUAUGCAAAUGGUGAAGGUUGUGUUGCACCCACUAUGGAUCCUCAAUUAGUGCAACCAGUGGAUAUUGAGGAA